UACGUAGGGCGCGAGCGUUGUCCGGAAUUAUUGGGCGUAAAGAGCUCGUAGGCGGCCUGUUGCGUCCGCUGUGAAAUCCCGGGGCUCAACCCUGGGCGUGCAGUGGAUACGGGCAGGCUGGAGGCAGGCAGGGGAGAACGGAAUUCCCGGUGUAGCGGUGGAAUGCGCAGAUAUCAGGAGGAACACCAAUGGCGAAGGCAGAUCUCUGGGCCGUAACUGACGCUGAGGAGCGAAAGCAUGGGGAGCGAACAGG
rnacentral:rRNA from 1 species